rnacentral:lncRNA from 1 species
GACCCAACAUUGGUGUUAAUUUGCUAAUCACUUAAUAAUAAUCUGCAUAGGGAAUGAUCACCCCGAGGAUCUUUAAUCAACAACCCGGGCCAGUGCUCCUCAUGAGUGUUGGUCCAAAAUGGACAGACUGCGGGGGCCACCACAGGGAAACUUGAGGUUUGGAUCCUAUAGGCUUUUCCAUCCGUCGUGUCCUGAGACUGGGAUACGCGGCUCUUAUCGGGGU